GGCAGAGGCCAGAACUGAAAGAGAGAAAGGCAGUCCUCAAUGGGAUAAGUAAGAAGUCAGGGACUGGGGGCCAUAACUUCUUGACUAAAGCUUGAGGGCAGGAUGAGGCAGAGAAAGUGUCUUCUAAAUAACCCCUGGAGUAGCGAACUCUUUUCCCUGAACCUGUGCUGUAUCUUGGUAACACAUAUUCAACAUCUCCACCUGCACCUAAACUGAUUGUUUGGUUUCCAGGAAUCCUCCCUCCAGGUCACUGGGAGCUUCAAUUCCUUAGAAGAAAGAAAGAGAUGACUCCCGCUUCAUAGUCCAGGAAAAUCCCCACACACCGUGGAGGCUCUUUAAGGCGGAAGGAGGUCUGCGGGGAUGUGAGAGCUUCAUACUCAUUCCCACGACUCUGUCGCAGAAGCCAGUGUCCAUUGGCAGGUGAGGCAGUAACCUUCCCCUUCCUGCUCACUGACUCGCUACAUACUCCAAGAAUCCAUUUGGUCUUGUCUCCCACAUACACCUCCCAGUAGUGGCAGCCAGUCGUGAAGUACUCAGAGCCUAGGAUGCUGACAACGAAAUCAAAUCUCUGGGGGUUGUCAGGUACAGGCUGCCGUCUGUCUCCAAGCCUUACACAUCUUUGGUCCUCAGAAAGGAUGAGUUUGGGAUGUGCUGUGUCUGGGUCCAGGGUCACUGCCACU
rnacentral:lncRNA from 1 species